rnacentral:rRNA from 1 species
UACGAAGGGGGCUAGCGUUGCUCGGAAUCACUGGGCGUAAAGGGUGCGUAGGCGGGUCUUUAAGUCAGGUGUGAAAUCCCCAGGCUCAACCUGGGAACUGCACUUGAACUGGUCGCCUUGAGUGUUGGAGAGGGAAGCGGAAUUCCAGGUGUAGCGGUGAAAUGCGUAGAUAUCUGGAGGAACACCGGUGGCGAAGGCGGUUCUCUGGGACGGUACUGACGCUGAGACGCGAAAGCGUGGGGAGCGAACAGGAU